UAACACAUUGUUGAAGAUAGCACACCGAUUGUAGAUAGUCACACUCCCCCUUACUUGAAACAUGGGAAAUAAUCUAAGGCCUUUAUAGUAGUGCUGAAACUGAACAUCCAUGGGAUAAGGCAUACCGGAGAUAAAGAAACAAACACGGUUAUACCAAAACACAAACACCAUGGGAAAAGUUCGGCAACAAACCCAAAGAAGCCUUCAAAUUUCACCAACAAGUCGAAAGAAGGGAAAAACAACAAUCUGAAAAAUCUCGCCGGAGGCAGACUCACGCGCCGGCGCGUGAGGAAGGUCGCCGGCGCGUG